rnacentral:snRNA from 1 species
AUCGCUUCUCGGCCUUUUGGCUAAGAUCAAGUGUAGUAUCCAAAGCCUAGGAUGAGGUGCCUCUUCAGUAUAAUGGUAAAUAAUAAAAUUGACUGAUAUCAGCUAGUGAAGCUAUGGUUGAAAGAUGCUAAAAAUAGGCAUUCACAUUUUCUGAGUUUUUACUAUG